rnacentral:rRNA from 1 species
CUACGGGCUGCUGCAGUGAGGAAUAUUGCACAAUGGGGGAAACCCUGAUGCAGCAACGCCGCGUGGAGGAUGACGCAUUUCGGUGUGUAAACUCCUUUUAUCAGAGAAGAAAAUGACGGUAUCUGAUGAAUAAGCUCCGGCUAACUCCGUGCCAGCAGCCGCGGUAAUACGGAGGGAGCAAGCGUUAUUCGGAAUCACUGGGCGUAAAGGACGCGUAGGCGGGUUUUUAAGUCAGGUGUGAAAUCCUAUGGCUCAACCAUAGAACUGCACUUGAAACUGGGGACCUAGAGUAUGGAAGGGGCAGGUGGAAUUAGUGGUGUAGGGGUAAAAUCCGUAGAUAUCACUAGGAAUACCGAAAGCGAAGGCGACCUGCUGGGACAUUACUGACGCUGAGGCGUGAAAGCGUGGGGAGCAAACAGGAUUAGAUACCCUCGUAGUC